AUUGAACGCUGGCGGCAUGCCUUACACAUGCAAGUCGAACGGUAACAGGUCUUCGGAUGCUGACGAGUGGCGAACGGGUGAGUAAUACAUCGGAACGUGCCCGAUCGUGGGGGAUAACGGAGCGAAAGCUUUGCUAAUACCGCAUACGAUCUACGGAUGAAAGCAGGGGACCGCAAGGCCUUGCGCGGACGGAGCGGCCGAUAUCAGAUUAGGUAGUUGGUGGGGUAAAGGCUCACCAAGGCGACGAUCUGUAGCUGGUCUGAGAGGACGACCAGCCACACUGGAACUGAGACACGGUCCAGACUCCUACGGGAGGCAGCAGUGGGGAAUUUUGGACAAUGGGCGAAAGCCUGAUCCAGCCAUGCCGCGUGCAGGAUGAAGGCCUUCGGGUUGUAAACUGCUUUUGUACGGAACGAAAAGACUCCUUCUAAUAAAGGGGGUCCAUGACGGACC
rnacentral:rRNA from 1 species